GUCAACGACCCCACGCGUAGAACGCGGGGGCUUGUUCGAAUCGCCCACAGUGGCAGGGAGCAAGCCUGAUUCGUUGUCCAGCCCUCGUUCCUGAUCCCGCAGGCCGGGAAAUGAGGGAACUCCGUUCGGCGGGUCAUGGCACCUACGCACGCCUCCUCAAUGCGUAGCUCUGCC
rnacentral:sRNA from 24 species